CCUUCGUGAGGGCGAGGCGCGAGGAGACGGGAAUCUCCCCGAUCUCCUCCACCGCCAGCGACGAUUGCUCUCUCCGGAGAGAGCCGUCUCCGAGGCGGACUGAUGGGAGAGACGAGCCACCCCUCGCGAGGAGGAAGAGGACUCCAAUUCUGGAUCGAAUCAUUGCGCGAGUCGCGCCGACGGUUCCGUCACUGCCGAUGGGGGCGUCAAAUCCUCAUCCGACCUGGCUGUUUAUGAGCAGUUGGGGGCAACAGUUUGGAGCAGAAGAUUCAACCAUGGGCAGGAGCUAUUUCAGAGAGGGUUCAAGAAACACGGGAUCUCCAGUGGAAACCUGCCGCGAAAGGGAAGCUGUGCAUGCAUGAUGGCGGAGCUGUUGCUUUUGGCGUGGGCCGUGCGGGCGCUCAGGUGGAUGUGAAGUCGACUAGAACGCUCGCUCCGAGUUCAAGGAGUUGA